CUUCCUCUUCCAACGAACUUUACUCUCUCAUCGUCUCUACAACUCCAUAAAUCCUUCUCUCAUCCAUCUCUUAAUUGCUCUCUAUGAUUCAGUGCUUGCUCUUUCUUUCUCUCUCCUUCUUAUCAAAUUGAAAUCAAAAUCAAGGUUUCAUAUUAAAGAUCGAAGAAAAAAACCAGGUAUCUAGAAUCAAAGGUGAUUUAUUUUUUUUUUUUUUUUUUGUUUUCUUAUCUUGUUAAUUUUAUUAUUUUUCGAGAGUUUUUGUAAGGGUGGAGAUUUUCUGUAGGGUUUUCUAUGAAGAUUGGACUUUAAUCCGUUGUUCUAAUUUGUUGUAGAAAAUUCAGUUGGAUUUCUUCAAUUGGGGUUGGAUUUAAUCAAUUGGGGUUUGUUGUGCUUCGUAAGGUAAUUUCUUAUUUCAAUUUCAUCAUUUUAUUCCCAACCUGCAUUUUAUUUGUUAGUAGAAGAAUAUAAUCAUAUUAUUGUUACCAUUGGAAAAAAAAUGAGUUGAUUCAACCACUUUUAGAAGUAUCUACUGUGAUUCUAUUAUAUUCCUUACCAAAAUAAAUCAAUUAGAUUGUUGUUCAAGUUAUUAAGAUAGGUUGCUUUCUGUGCUUCCAUUUUAAUCAAAUUAUUUCCUCUAUAAUGGUUGUUUGUUCAUCUUAGUUUGACACAAAAUUUGUUAUAUAAACCUGCUAUACUGUUGUUUGUGAUGAAAAUUUAAUUUUGGAAGUUCGUUAUUCUUUGUUGUAGUUGCACUUGGUGUUGUUGCUAUCAAGUAGUUGAUAUGAUACUCAUUCAUAAUCUAUUCAUGAUUUGUUACUUUAAGGGAAUUAUUUCGUUUUUAUGAUAUGUACAAAGAUAAUAUUGCAUUGCACGCAUGGGAAUUUCUCUUUAUCCUGCAUUAAAGAAAAGUUUAUAGAAUUAUACAUGACCUGUGAGCUAUUUCGAUAAAGAAAGCUCUAAGUGCCAAGGUGGCUAAACCGAGCCUCAACACGACACGUCAAUUGAUUAGGACAUGAUUAAUUAUGAUAAUGCAUUACAAUCAUACAAUAUACAGUGGGACUCCCCUUCGAUCACACAUGAUCAACUACUCUAGAGAGCGACCUAUUUUGAAGAGAUAUCCGACUUGGCCCUAUUACACACUCUAAAAAUAUGAUCUAUAGUCCCACUGGAGUAGAGGGACAUGGUCUUCAUAAUCUCCAAAACAAAGUGCCUAUAAUACAAAGGAGGUUUUUCCCGGUCAUUAAGAAUGUUGGUUGCUCUAAGGGAAUCAGUUCCCACUAAUAUAUUCCUUGAGUCCAAAACAAUUCCCUCCUUCAGAUACACAUCUAUUGCCUUAAACUCUAGUAAUGAUUGAAUUGGAGGUUUAACACUGCCAUGAUUAUCUUCGAAGAGUCUUCCAUAUCCACUUAGUUCUUUGCUCACAGAAUUAUCAAAAUUAAGGGAAAGGACUGAUGGUGGAGCUCUGCAUCUCAGUAAGACGAGUAAGGUAUGUCUAAUGGUUACUAAUUCAUUAAUUAUUGAUCUUUUCAUAUAGUGCAUAUCGUAUAUUUUUGAGUUUAACUUAACGAGUCUUAUUUUCCCAUUUAAAUUUGACUUUAAAUCCAUACCUAAAAAAUAUGUGGCAUAUAUAGAAUUCUUCACUACCUCAACUGAUUCUUAUGCUUGGCAGUGUACUAUUAAUCUAAAUGUUCUUUUCUCUAGUUGCACUUGGUUUUGUUGUAUCACGUAGUAGUUAUUAAGGUUUUUGGUAAAUCUAGUUUUUUUUUAUCAUAUCAAUGAUGAAUGGUCAUCUACACUAUUAAAACUCUGUUAAAUGUAGUCCAUAGACUUUCUUUCUCUGAACAUUUUUUUUGUGUGCCCUAACCCUGGACUGCUAGGUCUAUUGUCUUUAUAUGGGUUGGGUUGUGUGAUCUGGAUUUUUCUGCUAGGUGUUGCAUAUUAAUUUGAUAUAUUGAAUUAUUUUGUUAUUAAUAUUAAUUAUUUUGUGUGUGCAUGUGUAUAUAUAUAGUAUUGCAGAAUGUCGUUACCACCUAAAAAAGACUGUAUGCGUGAAACCAAUAGAUUGAGUGAUGUGUAUUUAAAUGGAGUUUUGAAGAGUUCGUAGAAUUUGCACUAGCACACAACACUGAGAACCUAACUACAUGUACAUGCCCCUGUAAGAAAUAUUGCAAUGGGACUAAGGUGAAGUUUACAGAUUUAAAUACCCAUUUGAUAAGAAACGUGUAGACCCAAUAUAUACUAUAUGGUAUUUUCAUGGUGAAACAACAUCCGAUCAACAUUGAGUAGUAGAAAAUGAAAACAUUGAGGAAGAUGUCAUUGAUGAUGGAGGGCAUGGCAGACUUGGUAUGUGUUUUUUUUUAUUUUUAAUUUAUCUAAUCCCUUUUUAACUCCGCCAAAGCAAACUUAUGAAAACCAUUGCUUUGCCGGUCCCAAGCCCGGACAAAGGAAGAGGGAAAAGCGUAAUAUUAUUGUUAAAUAAGUAUUUAGUUGAAUUGUAAUAUUGUAGUCUAAUUGUAUUAAAAACUAACUUGGCUUUGUUUCUUACACAGACUGCACAUGGUACAAGAUACAAGCGUGAGUAGUGGAUGGUACUAAUUCAUUGCAAUGCAUGUACAGUGUUGUACAUUACAUGAUUCUUUCCAG
rnacentral:lncRNA from 1 species